AUUAGAACAAAGCUGUCCCCCUGCUUUGGGAGUAGCUUUGGGGGCUGUGCUUUCACACGGGGGCAAAUCCCCUUUCACCCUUUCUUUGAACCCAUUGUCCUCUAGCCCUUCAUGUCUCUGCUUUCUCUCAUCAGGUCACAGCAGCAUUCCUAACCCUGGAUCUACCUACCUCUCUCACUGUGGUCCUCAACCUUUAAAUGUUGAUCAUUCAGAAAGCCAUCUGAGCAGCCUUUCUUGUAAGACAAUGGUCAGGUCCAACUCUAGCCCACGAGCCAUGGCUUGCUCCACCUUAUCUGCAGAAUGGGCCCUCAGGUUUUCAGACGACAGCCACUGCAAGACAUGGCUCCAUCUACCUUUCCUAUGUAUUCCUCUCCACUUAGUGAAAAAGCCAUUGCACAGAAGAUUCAGAGUUGCUCACUAAGAACAAACACUAAGAGAAGGUUGCCGUUGUGACACCAUACCCCCUCAUCUUCUGCCAGACAAGUCCCACCCAUUUCCAGCCAUGUCUUUGCACUUAGCUCUUCCCUCUUGUCUGAAUGCUCUCUUUUCAAGGGUCCCCGAUCAGGAGCCUGCCUGUCAAAUCCCAGGGCAAAGCCUCCUCUAUGAACCCUCCCUGGCCACCUCACUGUCUUGGUGAUGUGUCUCUCUUUCGUGUGCUUCCUACUGAUUCCUACUGAAGAGAUCUGAGCUCCAACUCAUCUUGUCCUCAGUGGUGCAGCUCAUUUGCAGGAUGUCUCCAAGUGAACCGUGUCAUGGAACCUGGACAAGCCUGUUGGCCGCACCUGCAUUCCAGUCCUCAGCCACCCAGAAACACGUUUUUCCAUUUCUUCUACAGGAACUCAAGGAAUUUCAUCUCGAGAGCAAGCUGGGCAAAGAUGGCUUCUGGGACAAUCAUGACCAUGGCUUUCUUGGCUCUUGCCUCUCAUGGAACCAUUUUUGCAGCUGGGGGAGCCUGUGUAAGACUUGCAGAAGACCAAGCCAGUCAAUGGUCCAGCAUGGACUGGAAGGGGCUCAGAUGAAGACCACUGACUCUGCAUGGGAGCUAUUGACGGCUGCUGGAGGGGGGGGGGUUCCCCUCCCCACUGGGGUGGUGGUGGUAGAGGGUGUUCUCUGGUAGGUCAAUCACUCAUUGGGUUUCCCACCCCACAUGUGUGUAUGGGCCACAUUAAUUAAACUCAGUGGGUUACUG
ensembl:lincRNA 4930456L15Rik RIKEN cDNA 4930456L15 gene